AGUGAACGCUGGCGGCGUGCUUAACACAUGCAAGUCGAACGAGAACGGGCUAUAGCUUGCUAUAGUUGUCAGCUAAGUGGCGCACGGGUGAGUAAUGUAUAGGUAAUAUGCCUCUUACUAAGGGAUAACAAAUGGAAACGUUUGCUAAUACCUUAUACUCCUUAUUAACAGAAGUUAAUAAGGGAAAGAUUUAUUGGUAAGAGAUUAGACUGUAUUGUAUCAGUUAGUUGGUGGGGUAAUGGCUUACCAAGACUAUGACACAUAACUGGUUUGAGAGGAUGAUCAGUCGCACUGGAACUGAGACACGGUCCAGACUCCUACGGGAGGCAGCAGUGGGGAAUAUUGCACAAUGGACGAAAGUCUGAUGCAGCAACGCCGCGUGGAGGAUGACACAUUUCGGUGCGUAAACUCCUUUUAUAUGAGAAGAUAAUGACGGUACUACAUGAAUAAGCACCGGCUAACUCCGUGCCAGCAGCCGCAGUAA
rnacentral:rRNA from 1 species